AGCACACCACCUUGAGAACCACAGGUCCACAUAGAUCAGCGGUUUUCAGGCCUUGCAGCAAUCCGGAAUCACCGUGGAGGACGACAAGAAGGAAGAUGCCCAUCGCAGACCAACUGAAUCAGAAUCUCCAGGGGUGAUUCUGAUGCACACCACAGAGGGUUCAUGAAGGCCAAGGAGACAUUGGGAUCUCCCAGGAAAGAGAGAAAGAGUGAGUGCAAAACACAGUCCCAAACCCCAAAGCAUCUUACUAUUGAGCACCAAAAGUCUGUACUUCCUGUCAGUAAAGAAUGCCUUCAAUUGAACUCUAAUGAGCUUUCCACUACUGGCCGCACUCCGGCCCACGGAAUACAUGAAUCACUUGUCCUUAUGCAGUGUAAGAGUCCUCCGUUAAUGUUUGGAGCCCUAAACGUAGCCACUUGAGCUUCCCAUCUAUCAGGCAUAGUUAGGGAUCCCAGAAGCCUCACAUAGCCUGGCGAUAAAACAGCCAGAGAAAGAGCUGGAAGGCAAUAGGUGACAAACCCCAGCCCUUCCUAGAUGUCGCUGUGGACAAUGGAUGCUGUCUCCUAGAAACAAUCCCUUUCCUUGCACCCCAAGACCGGAUGAGGUGAACAUUUCUGAAACACGUCCAGGAGACAGACUGUUCUCUGAGAGGCUACGAGCUGUCUCUCCUAGCAAAGAAGGGAAAAACGAUGAGUGCCCGGAAGUCAGAUCACUGGAUUAAAAGUUCACACAGCUAAUCCUCAACAAGCCCAGGACAAAACGCAGGGCAAGAGACUCCACGUUCUGUGGUCUGUGCUCAACACGGCCCAGGAGAGAAGGCUGCUACUGCCGACCGAGCAUCUGAUAAUUUGCACUAAAGAGGACAAACAGCCCCGUGGGGGAUCAAACAUGGAGCAAAGGCUGUCGCACGUGGGCGCAGGACACCUGGGUUCUACUGGGGGCUCCCCCACUAACUCCAUCACCCUGAGCAAAGCAAGUCCCUUGGGCCUCAACGUCAGCCUCCCUCCCGUCUGGAUCUAACACGCUGCCCUUUUGUCCAGAUACCUCAUUACCAAAACAAAAACAGAAACAUUUUGGUUUUGAUUUUACAUAAAAAGACCAAAAGUAAUACAUUUGCUCCCACUCCAUGUAACUGCUCUGUUGGCCACAAAACGGAUCCGGCUGCAUCCCAAGGCCAGCAGGUUGGGGUUAAUGAGACAGUGAACUCCAGAAAACAUGCCCCAAGCCGGAAUCUGCCAGCGAGUGGCAGGAGAAUGCAGUCCUUUCAAGAUCAAGUCAGAUGGCCUGAAACACAGUUCAGCGCUGUAUCUCGGCACCAGGCUCCGCCAUCGGCACUGUAAAGACAUUCCCCUCAGUUCUGGCCCCUGGGACGGAGGGCAUCAGCACCAGUAGGCCAGGCUACUGUCUGUCCCUGCACAAACGUGCUGAAGGGCAGCCGCCCAGGGUCCUCAGAGCAUGGGGAAUGGUGUGCUAGGUUCUUUUCCCAAGUGACCAGGAACUCGGGAUGCCACAUCAGCAACUGUGAAACCAGGGCCUGUGGGACGCGGUGGGUGGGGCUGCUGUUUGUCAGUUGCUGAUGUGCAGACCGCCACUUCCCGGGACUCAGGCGUGAGUGCCUCUGUUAUGCGUGGAGGGUCGAGUCCCGAAAUCUGUGGGAAACUGGGCAUUCCUAAGUCUACAUCCCUGUCUCAUUUCCAGCGCCAGGGGAACAGACCGGAGGAUGUAGAUUCCACAACACUUUUGAGCAUGAAAAAAUGUUUGCCCCACUGGCAGAAGAUCUGUCCCAUCUCUCUCAGAAAGGGGAAUGGUGUGUUCAGGGAAGAAACGGAGCAGGAGACUGGAUAAUCCGUGUGAAAACACGCAGGUGAAGUGUCAGGAAACCGUUCUGCUGACUCAGAACGAGCCAUAUAACAUGUCAUUUACAUAAUUAAAAGCUCGUGUACACAAAAGAACACACGUUUUGCAAGAACAUGUUCAAAUAAAAAGAUAAACAGAAAGGCAUUAAUAGAGCGGUCUAUGGGCAAAGAAAGGGAAUGGACUGGAGCAUGGAAACAAUCACCUUUCAUCCGUGAAAAAGAGAGGCCUUCCAGCGGCGAGUUUUGAGAAUGGCCAUGAACUGAGAAAUAUCAUCAACUCAGUCCUCUGGAUCUAAGGUCCAAAAUUUUAAAAUGAAAGGGAAGAGAAAACAAACCAGACCCAGGAGAUGUCGGUCAGAACGGCUUUGGAAGAGCCAUGAGUUUAUUUUUAUAAAGGGAGGAGAUCACUGGCGUCUACAUGAGACAGAGGAGUUUGGGCCCUGGAUGCACCUUUGAACCACCAGGAGAGCUUUUAGAAGAUACUGGAUAUGUGCCUUAGUUGCUUGGGCUGAGCCCAGGCUUCCAUGCUGAAAAAGAGCCUGGUGGGUCUGAGGAACAACUGGGAUGAGAAGACAGCCCUGGAGUAUCCCACCCGUGCCUUUGGGCUCUGGCAUGGGGGUAUUCAGGAAGGCAGGGCUUGCCCGGGGAAGAGGAAGAAGUGUUUUGGACAGGAAGUGUCGGUUGAAGUGACUUGAAAUGAGGCGUUGUUUCAGAAGGGGGUGUUGAGUUAAACACAGGGCCUGAGGCACAGUGGUAGGGGACAGCACCAGCGUGGCCCCUGCAGCUGACCCCCACAUGUUACAGAUGAAGGAGAACCCUGACACUGAGAGAAAGUGACCUACCCAGAGAUGGGUCUCCAGCACAAGUGCCCCAACUCCCUUGGUCUUCCCAGCUCUCUUCCCACUGUCCCGUGGAGCCCCAGCUACUGCCAAGGCCCCCUCAUCCUCCUGCUGUCUCACCAAUGCCAUCACAGAAGCAGGGGGGAGGCCACCCCAGAAGGAGCUGGCAAGUGAUUUGAGCUUCUUGAGAAAAAAUAAAGUUUAGACAGGAAUCUGAUGAGUUCUUGUUCAUUCCUUUCCCUUUCUCAGGGAAAUGUUUGCCUUCGCUGAAAACUGCCUAUCACCCUCUGGAUUUGGGUUUUUUUCCUCCCUAAGCCCUUAAUUCUGGAAGCUCAUUUGUUUUUAGUUCUGUUAGCGUUGCCAGCCAGGCUCGGUAGAUUCUCCUAACCACUCUUGAUUUCCUGAAGCUGUGAAGAUGUGUUUGGCCACCCUACUGAGGAAGAGAAGUCCAUGGAGUGAGGGUCUGAAAGGGGAUGACUGAGAACGUUUGGUUUCCUUCCACCAGAAUACAUGGAGUGUCAGGUGCCCAUGUGUGAAAGGUUUUCACAUUUGCUCAAUGUUUACAGGCAAGAAAAGUAGGCCCAAGGGAGGUUACAUAAACUUCCAAGUUAUGUGCAAACUCCUAUAAGGGGAUUGGGUCUUACUCAUCUGUGCCCCGCUGGGGCCCAGACCAGCAACAGCAUAGAGGAGAUGCUCGUGAAACGCUCACCGAAGGGAGUGGCCGAGCUGAGAUCUGCCCCCAGCCUUCUGACUUCCAGCCCGACACUGGGACCACAAGCACAGGCAUGCUCAGCCUCUGAAGGCCAUACAGGGUACACCUGGCCCUGGCCAGGUCUGCACACAGCCUUGACCUAGCAUCAUGCUGGGCACACACAGCUGGUGCUCAGCCAACGUUCACUGGACCAUCCUUACAGCUCUGUUCGUGGUUACUCUGGCCCUGAUUGUCAGCUUUCCAUCCAGAUGUAUUGGCAGAGAGCCUGCAACUGGGGUGGGUCUCAUGAAGCAUUCCAGAAGAAACUCCAGAAUCGCAGGGCUGAGAGGGAAAUUAAAGGUCAUCCAGUUUUACUGCUUGUUCUCCUCCCUCCCUCCCCAAACGCAGACACAGACACACACACACACACACACACACACACACACACACCCUGCUUCUCUCCCCUCAGGCGCACACACUUUCUCCCACUGAUUGGCUGGGCCUGCGGGUACGUUUCUGGCUCAGAAACAUUUCUUUAUUUGAUAUU